rnacentral:rRNA from 1 species
GACGUAGGGCGCGAGCGUUGUCCGGAUUAUUGGGCGUAAAGAGCUCGUAGGCGGCUUGUCGCGUCGUCCGUGAAAACCUGCGGCUCAACUGCAGGCUGGCGGUCGAUACGGGCAGGCUGGAGUUCGGUAGGGGAGACUGGAAUUCCUGGUGUGAGCGGUGGAAAUGACGCAGAUAUCAGGAGGAACACCGGUGGCGAAGGCGGGUCUCUGGGCCGAUACUGACGCUGAGGAGCGAAAGCGUGGGGAGCGAACAGG